CACAAAAGCACUGCUCAAAUUAUUCUACUUUGGACACAUUAUGUGAAGAUCUAGAUCUCUGGAGAAGGCUCAAAUGCUGGGAAAGGUGGAAGGAAAGAGAAGAAAGAGCUCAGCAGCAGGG